AAGAUUUGAAGAAAGUACAGAAUGUCCUCAGAAGGUUGCAUUCAUGGGAAAGUGUCUCAAUUCCAGAUGCAAGAGGAUUUGCAUACUUUACUGCCCUUCAGCUACAUCAUGACAUUCGUGGAUUUCUUCAAAUCCAGAUAAAUCAGACAGGAAGGAAUUCAGAGCAGCAAAGACUACUUCAGCACUGGCCAGAGCUGCCCAAAUUACUCCCGUCUCUACUCCACCUACGCCCUGCAGCAGCAUCAAUAAUAAAUGAGGACCACUCUGCACUGCAGACAGGCGCCCACUCUGCUCUGUGAGGCUGAGAAGGUGGGUUUCUGAAGAAGCUCCUUGGCUCCCUUCUGCGAGGUGGUGCUCUCCCAGCAC
rnacentral:lncRNA from 1 species